UACGUAGGUGGCGAGCGUUUGUCCGGAUUUACUGGGCGUAAAGGGUGCGCAGGUGGUUUGGCAAGUUUGAUGUGAAAGCCCCGGGCUUAACCCGGGAAUGGCAUUGAAUACUGCUUGAACUGGAGGGUCGGAGGGGGGACUGGAAUUCUUGGUGUAGCAGUGAAAUGCGUAGAUAUCAAGAGGAACACCAGUGGCGAAGGCGAGUCCCUGGACGAUACCUGACACUGAGGCACGAAAGCCAAGGGAGCAAACAGG
rnacentral:rRNA from 1 species